rnacentral:rRNA from 1 species
CUUGGUGUUUUUAGCAAGUGUGCAACACCCCAUCCCAUCCCGAACUGGACCGUGAAAAACCUUAGCGCCGAUGGUACUUCGUCUUAAGACGUGGGAGAGUAGGUCAAUGCCAAGU